rnacentral:rRNA from 1 species
UACGUAGGGGGCAAGCGUUGUCCGGAUUUAUUGGGCGUAAAGAGCGUGUAGGCGGCUAGAUAGGUCCGUUGUGAAAACUCGAGGCUCAACCUCGAGACGUCGAUGGAAACCAUCUGGCUAGAGUCCGGAAGAGGAGAGUGGAAUUCCUGGUGUGGCGGUGAAAUGCGCAGAUAUCAGGAGGAACACCGGUGGCGAAGGCGGCUCACUGGCCCGAUACUGACGCUGAGGCACGAAAGCGUGGGGAGCAAACAGG